rnacentral:rRNA from 1 species
GAAGCUUAGUAACCCAGGAAUGUGGAGGCCACGCGACUUAAAAAAGAAAGUGGCCGUUUACUAGUUGAUCUUUUGGUCAGCAACACAACCAAACUGUUUGGGGACACCCGGCCCUUUUCUGUAGUAAUUACCACUAGAAUUUGGCAUAGCAUGGGUGACCCACAGCGAAUAAACCUCCUAGGCAUUUCAAAUGCCAUUGGGGAACGUUCACAGACUAAGUGGUUGUGGGUAGAGUGGUUCAAAUAACUCUAUUUGAGAUAUAGUCGGGCCUGAUGGUAAUUCUUCAGGUUUAUUAUACAUCAUUAAUUCUCAAGGAGCAUUUUGAUGCAAGUUAAAUAACUGUUCCGUAGGUGAACCUGCGGAAGGAUCAUUACUGAGAACAUGCCCUUUAGGGUAUCCUCCCACCCUUUGUUUACAAAUACCUUUGUUGCUUUGGCGGGCCCGUCGUAUGACCACUGGCUUUAGCUGGUCUGUGCCUGCCAGAGGACCCAAAACUCUUGUAUUAUGAUGUCUGAGUACCAUAUAAUAUUUAAAACUUUCAACAACGGAUCUCUUGGUUCUGGCAUCGAUGAAGAACGCAGCGAAAUGCGAUAAGUAAUGUGAAUUGCAGAAUUCAGUGAAUCAUCGAAUCUUUGAACGCACAUUGCACCCUCUGGUAUUCCAGGGGGUAUGCCUGUUCGAGCGUCAUUGCAACCCUCAAGCGCUGCUUGGUAUUGGAUGCACCACUUGGUGCGUCUCAAAAAUAUUAGCAGUGGCAUUCAGCUUCUAGUGUAGUAGUUUUCUCGCUUAGGAGUCUUGAGUGGUCUGGCUGCUAAAAACCCUUUAAUUACCACAAAGGUUGACCUCGGAUCAGGUAGGGAUACCCGCUGAACUUAAGCAUAUCAAUAAGCGGAGGA